rnacentral:rRNA from 1 species
UACAGAGGUCCCAAGCGUUGUUCGGAUUCACUGGGCGUAAAGGGUGCGUAGGCGGUCGGGUAAGUCUGAUGUGAAAUCUCACAGCUUAACUGUGAAACUGCAUUGGAUACUAUCCGGCUAGAGGAAUGGAGGGGAGACUGGAAUACUUGGUGUAGCAGUGAAAUGCGUAGAUAUCAAGUGGAACACCGGUGGCGAAGGCGAGUCUCUGGACAUUUCCUGACGCUGAGGCACGAAAGCCAGGGGAGCAAACGGG